GGAAAAUAAUGAAAAUGAGGCUUGCAAGAAAGGUUGGAGCCCAGAUUGUGAAGGGUUUUAAAAGUUAAACAGAGUAGUUUGUGCUUUUUCCUAGAGGCAACAGGAAGCUACCAAGUAGAUGUAGAGAAUCUUCACAUUAAGGAAGAGGAUGUCCAAUACAGAGAGGAGGCCACAGGAAUGUUCAAGUUAAAAUAGGCUGGCAAAUUGUGUGACUGUGCCAAUGAUGACAAGAAAACAAUCUGGAAGAUGUGGUUUCUGUUAACUGCUAAGCAAGCGAAAUGCAGAUGCUUAUUCAGAGCUCUGCAUUUUGGAAAAUCGCACCUGACGUGAACAGAACUUGUCAUUUGGCCUGCGUUCCCCAUUGUUCCUUUCAGAGUCAAUUUUCAAGGCUGCAAGCAGUGGAGAACCCCACUUUUCCAGAGGAUGUUACUUUUGAUUCUACUCCUGAAGGAUUGUGUCUUCCCUGCAGGCGAUGCAAAAUAUUACCGAUCCUGAACCUGGAGGGAAAACUGAAAACGAAUUAAUUGGUGGAGUGAUAAACGACCUUAAAGACCUGGUUCAGCCUCCUUAUUUGACAGAUGAGAAACUGAGGUCCAGAGAGAGAGGAAUGGGCUUUUCCAAGGUCACACAUCCAGUUAAUAGCAGAGCUGGGAGUAGUCCUUAAAAGGUAUCCAAAGUAAAGGGAACUAAUUUGCUUUCUAUGAA
rnacentral:lncRNA from 1 species